rnacentral:rRNA from 1 species
ACGAACGCUGGCGGCGUGCCUAAUACAUGCAAGUAGAACGCUGAAGAGAGGAGCUUGCUCUUCUUGGAUGAGUUGCGAACGGGUGAGUAACGCGUAGGUAACCUGCCUUGUAGCGGGGGAUAACUAUUGGAAACGAUAGCUAAUACCGCAUAACAAUGGAUGACACAUGUCAUUUAUUUGAAAGGGGCAAUUGUUCCACUACAAGAUGGACCUGCGUUGUAUUAGCUAGUAGGUGAGGUAAUGGCUCACCUAGGCGACGAUACAUAGCCGACCUGAGAGGGUGAUCGGCCACACUGGGACUGAGACACGGCCCAGACUCCUACGGGAGGCAGCAGUAGGGAAUCUUCGGCAAUGGGGGCAACCCUGACCGAGCAACGCCGCGUGAGUGAAGAAGGUUUUCGGAUCGUAAAGCUCUGUUGUAAGUCAAGAACGGGUGUGAGAGUGGAAAGUUCACACUGUGACGGUAGCUUACCAGAAAGGGACGGCUAACUACGUGCCAGCAGCCGCGGUAAUACGUAGGUCCCGAGCGUUGUCCGGAUUUAUUGGGCGUAAAGCGAGCGCAGGCGGUUUGAUAAGUCUGAAGUUAAAGGCUGUGGCUCAACCAUAGUUCGCUUUGGAAACUGUCAAACUUGAGUGCAGAAGGGGAGAGUGGAAUUCCAUGUGUAGCGGUGAAAUGCGUAGAUAUAUGGAGGAACUCCGGUGGCGAAAGCGGAUCCCUCGUCUGUAACUGACGCUGAGGCUCGAAAGCGUGGGGAGCGAACAGGAUUAGAUACCCUGGUAGUCCACGCCGUAAACGAUGAGUGCUAGGUGUUGGAUCCUUUCCGGGAUUCAGUGCCGCAGCUAACGCAUUAAGCACUCCGCCUGGGGAGUACGACCGCAAGGUUGAAACUCAAAGGAAUUGACGGGGGCCCGCACAAGCGGUGGAGCAUGUGGUUUAAUUCGAAGCAACGCGAAGAACCUUACCAGGUCUUGACAUCCCGAUGCUAUUUCUAGAGAUAGAAAGUUACUUCGGUACAUCGGUGACAGGUGGUGCAUGGUUGUCGUCAGCUCGUGUCGUGAGAUGUUGGGUUAAGUCCCGCAACGAGCGCAACCCCUAUUGUUAGUUGCCAUCAUUCAGUUGGGCACUCUAGCGAGACUGCCGGUAAUAAACCGGAGGAAGGUGGGGAUGACGUCAAAUCAUCAUGCCCCUUAUGACCUGGGCUACACACGUGCUACAAUGGUUGGUACAACGAGUUGCGAGUCGGUGACGGCGAGCUAAUCUCUUAAAGCCAAUCUCAGUUCGGAUUGUAGGCUGCAACUCGCCUACAUGAAGUCGGAAUCGCUAGUAAUCGCGGAUCAGCACGCCGCGGUGAAUACGUUCCCGGGCCUUGUACACACCGCCCGUCACACCACGAGAGUUUGUAACACCCGAAGUCGGUGAGGUAACCUUUUGGAGCCAGCCGCCUAAGGUGGGACAGAUGAUUGGGGUG